rnacentral:misc_RNA from 1 species
UAGCUGCGAUAAAUAGUGCGAACUGCAGAUGCAUUGAGCACGGAGAUUUCGAAUGCACAUUGCGCCAUUGGAUCUCGGUCCUUUGGCACGUCUGUUUCAGGGUCGUAAAUACUCUAAAUCCACUGCUAGUGUUUCGUGGAUAUAUGAGCACUUUGUGCUAAUGAGAUAUGCUGCCUUUUCCCUCAAUAAAGAGCAACAUAUCAUGUGGUUGAAUGUGGCGCACAAUGUUGAGAUAUGACCGCCUAAUCAUGUCACACUCGUUGUCGUCGAUAUGACUGAGUUGGCUGAUUGUCAGUCUUUGGUUGGUUAAGAAUGUGAUCCGAUCGUUUAUGCUGCCUGCUUAAGAUGGAUCUGUUUUGACUGGCUGAAGUCCUGCGCUUCACUGGGGAUCGCUGCCGCCAUCACUAUAGCCUCGAUAGCUUUCGUUGUUAGUGGUGGUGGUGUGGUGGUCUAUUGGAAUGCAGCCCGUUUCGAAUUUCGACCUGAACUCAGACGUGAUCACCCGCUGAACUUAAGC